UAUUUAAGUAACGAAAUGUAACAGCUGAUUAGAUCUGUUCGUUUUCAGUUGAGAGGUUUUUGUGACUGACACGUACUGAAUUGCAAAAUCGUCUCAAGUCACAUAAAUUGUCUCUAAUUUAAAAUCUCAAAUUUAGAGACUUGUGACUGCAUCAAAGUACUGGAUUGGACAUACAUAUCUCCCAAUACAAUAAGGGACAGAUCUCUGAAGGGCAUCAAAUCCAGCAAUACGGUAAUUAAACCCCUACUUUCAAAACACACAUUGGGAAAUGCAAAGGUGCAGAAAAAAAUCAACCGUGAUUGAAGCAAUGUAAGAUCAUAUUUACAGAUGAGUCACCUUUUUUAUUGUUCAACCACUUGAGACGUGUUUGGCUAAACAAUCAAUAAAUGUCAACUAUAACAAAACAAUCUAUUAUCUAUAAUUACAACAUUUUUCCCAAUAAACGCCACCUACACUUUGGAAAACGAAAACGCACUAUAAAAAAUCCAGCUGCAAGAUUGUACUAUCGAGUGCCUUGAGAAGACGGUUUUCAAACUUACCGAACAAGUUCGUUCCUCACGAGCCAAAACGAACGUAGCCCUCGAUUGAACAUUGUCGUAGAUGAAAUUCAGACUUUCAGAGCUAUUAGUGAUAUCAGAUUGACACUUCCCGUUAUUCCACGUUCAACAUACGCGAAUGAAAUCAACGCUUGCUUAAAAUCAUCGAGACUGUGGCAUAAUGUUGAAAAAGUAUAACUGACAGUGAACAUGGGCUUUAUAUGCUUGAAGAUCCAUUUGCCAAGACUCUCUCAAAACAAUUGGCAAAUAAAAGUAGCUGUACAUGAAAAUACUGGAUACAUAAAAUUAUCAACGGAUUUCUGCACAAUCACCAACUCUCAAAAUACUCUCAUCGUCAAUAUAUAAUAUUUCCCGAUGUACACACAAAAUAUAAAAAUCUUGAGUGGCAGAAAGAUCGAUUCUGUCAGCAAAACUUUGACGCCAAUGGAUUAAAUCCACAGAUACAACAGUUGUUACCAGGGGACUUGGUGUCAAACAAACCUAUCCACGUCAAGAAAGAUGCAAUAAGUUCAGUCCGUGGAAUUGGACAAGCUGAGGACCAGUUAAAAAAGGGUUGAAGCUCCAGAAAAAGGGCCACAUUAAAAACUGAAGCUACAACAAAAUUAAAAUAGAUUCAGAAAAAAAAUAAUGCUUUAGAAUAAGUAAGAAAUAGUAAGGAAACAUUUAAAAUGAAGUAAAAAUUUAAUUGAAC